UACGAAGGGUGCAAGCGUUAAUCGGAAUUACUGGGCGUAAAGGGUGCGUAGGCGGUUGUUUAAGUCGGUCGUGAAAUCCCUCGGCUCAACUGAGGAUCGUCGAUCGAUACUGCCGUUCUUGAGGAUUGCAGAGGAGACUGGAAUUCCCGGUGUAGCGGUGAAAUGUGUAGAGAUCGGGAGGAACACCGGUGGCGAAGGCGGGUCUCUGGGCCGAUACUGACGCUGAGGAGCGAAAGCGUGGGGAGCGAACAGG
rnacentral:rRNA from 1 species